GUGUUAGUGAUUUUAUAAGAGUAUAUUGUAGAGGCGUGGCAAAGAGGGAUCACCUGUGAAGGCUGUGUUGUUGUCUCUGAGUUGACAGGAAGUGAGUCUGUGAGUCACAUCACACUUUAUCCUCCAUUAGGGUAUGGUAUGAACAAGUAAUUUGUCACAAGAUGUUUAGCAACACUUAUAGUAAUGUGACAGAAGAACUAGGCCGGCUACAUCUGGGAAGUCCCACUUCACAGCAGUAUUCACCUGGAGGUGGGAAAAAGGUUGCACCACUUGUUCCUCCAAAACCCAAAAAAAGCUCUGGACAGCCAGCAUCCCAGCUCUCAUUGCAUUGUGGCCGUGAUGAACUCAAGUUCAAGUCCCCCUCAAAGCAGUCAUCGUGACCCACGAAAUCGUAAUGACACGAUUGCAACAAACCAUACCAAAUGGGAUUUCUACUGUCAUUUAAUAAAGUAUUUUUUAAAUUGUAAAUAUUAAGUAUGGCUAAGCAUCUACUUUUCUUGUACAUUUCUCAUUUACAUUCAGUGUAUUGUCUGAACUUGUCAAAGCAGGUAAAU